CCAUUUGUCUCAUUUUCCAUUGAGCAUAGAUUCUUCAUCUCUUCUUCUUCUUCACGCAAAAUCAGAUCAAACCUAUAGUUUCUCUCCUCAAAUCAGGUGUACGCAAUCUUCUCUUUUUUCUCCCCCGUUUUUUGCUCUCCCCCUCUUUGUAUAACAUUAACCUUCCCAAUUCUUCCUCUUCUCUUUUUUUCACGUAGAAGCAUAGUGAUUUACUGGGUUGCGUCCUUCAGCACUUGGCACAACCUUCUUCUCAUUCAGGGAGGCUCCAGAUAUGCCAAAAGCAUUAUGUUUCAAAGGUUGAAAUGAAUAAUGUCAGCAAUCCUAUAACUGUAGUGAUAAACAAAGCUCCGUGCAAAAACAGGUAAAACUCCUAAAAACCAUACUUUCACUCACAAUCUUAGCAAUCAUGAUGAUGCAAAUCAUCUUAUUCUAUUGGCUGUAGGCCUCGGCCGUGCAACUAAGCAUGUGGUUUACAAAAACAUCAAAGGCACUACUAACUAUUGACUGCUUUGGUAACCCUUCUAAUAUUUUCUUGAAGUCAUGGUCCAACACUUCACUGGAGACAGUAGAACUUCAGACUAUUUUAUAGCUUGCAGAAAAUAACCAAUAAAUUCUCCAAUGGUGUGAAGUGGCAUUGCAAACAUCAAACUUUUUCAUUACCACUUUGCUAGCAUGUUGCUACUUGCAGCAGAUUUUUAGAAGGAAUAAAAGCAAAUUGUAUAAUUGCAAGAAUUGACAAGUAACUUCAAAUACCAAAAUAUAAAUGAAUCUUUAUAGAAGCUUACUCUGUCCUCAUCAUAUUCAUGUAAUGAUCUUGUUUGUGUGCUAAA